rnacentral:lncRNA from 1 species
CCCCCGCCCGCCCUCCAGACCUCCUCCCUGCUCUCCGCCCCCUCCAGCUCCCGCCUCUCCUCGGGCGCGCGCCAGGGGGCGCGCGAGGCUGUCCCCCUGGAAGAGGCCCACCUCCACCGGGCUCUCUGCGCACGCGCCCCUGGCAGCUGUGGCUCCUCAGUAGCUAAAGCGCCCUCAACCUGCGAGUCACUCCUCCGCUUUAUUUUUUCCCGUCUGGGCUCUGCACAUGCGCGAAUUUCCCCACGCGCCUAAAAGGCUGCCUGCGCUUGCGCCAUUUCCCCUUGGCUCCGUCCUGAUAUGUGACCUGUGAAGUGUAGUACGGAGCGCGAUUGUGGCAUCUUAAUAUCCUCCCUUCUCUUCCCGCUUUACUCUCCCGAUUUUACUCUGGCUUCCCCCAGUGGCAUACUACAAGAAGGACAGGGGACACAGUGGCCGACAGGGUGGAGACGCGUGAAGUGGCGGCGGGCGGACUGGCCCGCUCCCUCUUCGCUGCGCACUUUUUAAGGCUUUCCGCGCUGUUUAAACACCGACAACAAAGGACGGGCCGCUCCCCUGCUAGGUGCCUCAAUCGCCGCUCACCGGAUGGAAGCAAAUAGCCGACCUCUGGUCUACAGAUAGGCAUUCUUCGCUUCCUUUUGGUUAGGAACAUCUUUUGAAACCUAGCAUAAACUGAAAACCCACGACCUAGUAAAUAAAAACAUGUCGAAAUCAACGGUAGCUUCAUCAAGAAUUGUACUAUAUUGCUUCUCAAGGUAAAUAUGAAAAAUAGGCGUUUUCCGAGGUAGAUAUCUUUGCUUGUAACUAGUCAUAAUAUUCUAAGAUUUCUUUAUCUAAAUGUAAUAGAUUUUCC